rnacentral:rRNA from 1 species
GACGAACGCUGGCGGCGUGCUUAACACAUGCAAGUCGAACGGAAAGGCCCUGCUUUUGUGUGGUGCUCGAGUGGCGAACGGGUGAGUAACACGUGAGUAACCUGCCCUUGACUUUGUGAUAACUUCAGGAAACUGGGGCUAAUACCGGAUAUGAUCUCCUGCUGCGUGGGGGGGGUUGGAAAGUUUCGGCGGUUGGGGCUGGACUCGCGGCUUAUCAGCUUGUUGGUGGGGUAGUGGCUUACCAAGGCUUUGACGGGUAGCCGGCCUGAGAGGGUGACCGGCCACAUUGGGACUGAGAUACGGACCAGACUCCUACGGGAGGCAGCAGUGGGGAAUAUUGCACAAUGGGCGGAAGCCUGAUGCAGCAACGCCGCGUGCGGGAUGACGGCCUUCGGGUUGUAAACCGCUUUCGCCUGUGACGAAGCGUGAGUGACGGUAAUGGGUAAAGAAGCACCGGCUAACUACGUG